UACGAAGGGGGCUAGCGUUGCUCGGAAUCACUGGGCGUAAAGGGUGCGUAGGCGGGUCUUUAAGUCAGGGGUGAAAUCCUGGAGCUCAACUCCAGAACUGCCUUUGAUACUGAGGAUCUUGAGUUCGGGAGAGGUGAGUGGAACUGCGAGUGUAGAGGUGAAAUUCGUAGAUAUUCGCAAGAACACCAGUGGCGAAGGCGCUCACUGGCCCGAUACUGACGCCGAGGCACGAAAGCCAGGGGAGCAAACGGG
rnacentral:rRNA from 1 species